rnacentral:rRNA from 1 species
GACAGAGGGUGCAAACGUUGUUCGGAAUUACUGGGCGUAAAGCGAGUGUAGGCGGUUUCCUAAGUCAGGUGUGAAAGCCCCGGGCUCAACCCGGGAAGUGCACUUGAAACUGGGAGGCUAGAGUAUCGGAGAGGUUGGUGGAAUUCUCGGUGUAGAGGUGAAAUUCGUAGAUAUCGAGAGGAACACCGGUGGCGAAGGCGGCCAACUGGACGAAUACUGACGCUGAGACUCGAAAGCGUGGGAGGAAACAGG